rnacentral:rRNA from 1 species
CAAUAGCGUAUAUUAAAGUUGUUGCAGUUAAAAAGCUCGUAGUUGGAUUUCUGGUGGGAGCGAUCGGUCUGGCGCUUAGCGCGAGUACUUGCAUCGUCUCCGGCCAUCCUUGGGGAGAGUCUGUCUGGCAUUAGGUUGUCGGGCAGAGGAUCCUCAUCGUUUACUGUGAAAAAAUUAGAGUGUUCAAAGCAGGCUUAUGCCGUUGAAUAUAUUAGCAUGGAAUAAUAAGAUAGGACUUUGGUACUAUUUUGUUGGUUUGCGCACCAAAGUAAUGAUUAAUAGGGACAGUUGGGGGUAUUCGUAUUCCGUUGUCAGAGGUGAAAUUCUUGGAUUUACGGAAGACGAACUACUGCGAAAGCAUUUACCAAGGAUGAUUUCAUUAA